UUUCUUUCUACCCUCUGAUUUCGCCAGACAUCCCAUUACUUUCUUUAAAUUAAAAAUUUUCUUUUAUAUUAUACUAAAUAAAAGUCUUGUUCCGUUUUAAGUGUUUUAACUCCCGAUCAUCGUUACCCUUUCCGAUUGAUCUGAGUCCCAUAACGCAUGUCAACGCUCUGUCUGACUAAGUUCGUUUGGAUUCUAUUUCGGAACUUCGGGACAAGGUUGAAUUAGGGGUAUUAUACUUACCACGAGCGCAAUAUAUAUUUUAAUAACCCAAAGGUUAUACCCAAAAAUUAUACCAGGAGUCUUCUAGUUGAACCCUAAAGUUACACAGUGGGUCCAUUCCUUUUUCUCAUCAUUUUAUUCUCUUUUUAUGAUUUACCCAAAACUAUUAUUUAUUAUUUAUUAUUUCUAUUUUGUAAACCACUUUCAUCAAAAGUCAUGCCUAUUAUUUUAUUUACCCAAUAGGGAACCAUAGUUGAGACACCCAAGUAAACCUGCACAAAUCCUAAAAUUUCCGGAACAAUCGGAAUCAGGAUCAGGGCCCCUAAAACUCAGGGGGACUAAACCCUAUUUGAUAAUUAUCUUUUAAAAUUCGUUGUCUAUACUGAAUUUCGAUUUCAAAUUGAGUCACCAAGCCUAUACCACUGACUAGGCUAAUCUACAAGCUAGAUCGCAUCCUUUACGGACCGUAAGGGAAAGUCCUUACGGAUCGUAAGCAAACCGGUUCCUUUACGGACCGUAAGGGACCAAGCAUACGGUCCGUAAGCGAGUCCAAAUUUUUACUAUAAAUAGCCGACCUUGGCAGUAGCACAGAGAAGUUAAAACGACGUUCAAUUGCUGUCUGUGCGUCGAAUUAGAGCCGUUAUACCACAAUUAAACACACACCACACUCGAAUCGCUGCCGCGGAACAGGGUAAUUACUCGAUCGCUAUUACGAUUCAUUUUCCGGGAUCAAUAUAUCCAAAGAAUGUCUAAGUGCCGCCCACAUUGGGUUAUACUUUGUCGUUUGUCGAUAAUUCGAUAAAUGAGUUGAAGUAUUAUACUUUGUCGUUUGUCGUUAAUUCGAUAAAUGAGUUGAAGUAUUGCACUUUGUCAUUCAUUAUGAGAAUUUGAUCUCGUGAGUUAUCGUAAAAGCUGUAUUGAUCAUUAACCCGGUUUUGUGUGCAUCAUUUCCUAAAUUAGGAUUAUUAGUCUUAAUACACUUACAAUCAAAGUAGAUGCUAAUUCUCAGAAGAAUCUGAACCAUGAAGCUUGUUAAUUCAAAUACUGCAUGCUGAUUUGUAAUUACAGUAGAUUGGAGUAAGGAUUGGAUCCGGCGCUAAAAGACUUCAAGAAGUGGCUUAUUUUAUUAAUUAAAUCAAAUUAAGAAAUAUUGUUUUUAAUAAAUGCUACCUUUGUAAAACAUGGAAUUUAUUCCAUCUAUUUAAAUAAAAUCCGGUGUUUCUAAACUGUGAUAUUUUUCCUAACUCACAGUCCUGAUGAAAUUUCCGCUGCAAUGUUUUUCAAAAUAAUCACCGGUACCACUGGACUGUUCACGGCACCGAUUCCGGCCAGAUAGGGUCGGGGUCGUGACAGUAAAGGUGGUAUCAGAGCUAAGCCACUGCUUUAAGCCUAUAAGUGUUGUGAUAACAAUACUUAAGCUUAAAUAAAAGAGUUAGGAGAUUGCUAUUAAUUGGUAGCACAUCUGAUAGCAUUUAGACUUGAACAUAAGAAAAGAUGCCUUAGUAUAAGCUAAGCCACUGGGUUACGCAAUUAGGUAUUAUAAUAAUACCUAAGUGAAACGGAGAAUUAGAAACCUUAAUAUUAUCUGAUAGCACUCUGAAUAAUAUUUAGACUUGAACUUAAGAAUUUUAUCUUAAUAUAAAUUUCAAGAUAAAAUUUCUUAUAUAAGUAUAAAUAAGUAUAAUUGGUAUUCAAUAAGAAUAACGACUAGCAGGCAACCGCAUUUAAUUGCUAUUUAUUCUUGUUUAUUAGUAUUACUUGGUCAAGAAUAAAGAUAUAUUAUGGAAAUACAAAUUUCCUUGAUUCUGGAUAAAAGUCCUAAUAAAAGAGACACUUUUAAAAUCUUGAAAAGAUACUAUUUAUGGGUAAUAGAAAAUUUUCUCCGGCAAAACUGGGUAUAGAGUAGCAGACUCUCCAGCUUAUCCGGAUAUACUGAAGUUACCUCUCCGGCGCGAACCGGGUAAGAUGGGGUAUAUAGAAUGUCAAACAAGUGACAAGAUUUCCCUAAAUAAGUAUCAUGGCCUAAUAUCAGACUUGUUUUUGAAAAUAAAGAAUCUGUUAAAUACAUUAACCUUAUAAAGGGUAUGUAUAUUACAGCAUGUGAAAUAUAUGAUUAUAUAGAUAUGUAUAUCUAUAAGAAAUUUCAAAAGCCAUAACAAUUGAUAAUUAAGGAUAAAGCACAAGUAUAUGUGUCAAUAAUAAAUCUAGAUUCCUUUAUCAAGAAUCUCUAUAUCGAUAUCAAACAUUAUUUUUGAUCAUCUACCUCGUAACUCGAGCAACAAUAAUAAAUGGAAACCCAUUAAGUUGGGACACCAUCAAAAAUAUAAGAAUUACCAAUACGUUACCAUAAAUUAUUAACGCCAUAAAUUAUGAACGCAAGUAAGAAGCAUGUCAAGUUGUGCUAAUGCACAAGAAAACACAUGAAACUUAAAAUUAUACGUCCACAGACGUCAAAGUUUAUCACACAGAACUUCCAAAGCAAGAUCUUUAAAAAAUAUAAAUUAGGCACGAUAAUACCAACACUAAAUUC
rnacentral:lncRNA from 1 species